rnacentral:rRNA from 1 species
UCGACCUCAGAUCAGGUGGGACUCCCCGCCGAAUUUAAGCAUAUUAGUAAGCGGAGGAAAAGAAACUAACGAGGAUUCCCAGAGUAGCUGCGAGCGAAAAGGGAAGAGCCCAUCGCCGAAUCCCAAGGGCCACGCCCUUAGGGAGCUGUGGCGUUUUGGAGAGUCCGAUUAACCCGGGGUCCGUGCAGCGAGUUCAAGUCCAUCUUGAACGGGGCCACGGUCCGUAGAGGGUGCCAGGCCCGUAGAUAACCGGUGCCGGCUCCGGGUGGACUCCUCCUUAGAGUCGGGCUGCUUGAGAGUGCAGCCCUAAGUGGGUGGUAAACUCCAUCUAAGGCUAAAUACAACCACGAGACCGAUAGAGAACAAGUACCGUGAGGGAAAGUUGAAAAGAACUUUGAAGAGAGAGUUCAAGAGUACGUGAAACCGCUCAGGGGUAAACGGAAAAGACCCGAAACACCGAAACGAGAGAUUCACGUCUUCUCGCAGGAGCAGGUCUCCGUUUGGGGGAUGGCCUAACGCCCCGUCCGGCUCGUCCGUGGCGGUGGGUAGGCUGCCCCCUGCGGGGAUCCCUGCUUCUCGGGGGCCCGCAAUUCUCUCGCAGUAGGACGUCGCGACCCGCUCUGCGGCGGUCUAACGGCCGGUAGAAUGCCUGGUCGGGGCCCAUCUCUCGGGGUGGGUUCCCGCUCAGCUCUCCGGACCCGCGGCCGUCGGUCCGGGCGGUAUGAAACGACUUUAGCGCUGGGCCGCUCCUAGAGAGCGCCUAGCCUCCUCGCAAGCUCGGGUUGGAUCGUCGGGUCGUGCUCUCACGGGUACGCUCGGCGUCCUCCCGGACUGUUGGCGGGUGACGGCUCAGGCUGUUCGUCCAGCACGCUUGUCGGCGGCGCUUCAGAUUCGGGCACUUAUCCGACCCGUCUUGAAACACGGACCAAGGAGUCUAGCGUGUGCGCGAGUCAUUGGGUGUAAAACCUAAAGGCGCAAUGAAAGUGUCAGAGGGCGCUUGCGCUCUCGGUGGGAGGAUGGGCUCCCGGAUGUCACUCCGGUGCCCCGCACUCCCGGGGCGUUUCAUUCUCAAUUUACGAGUCGAGACGCACCAGGAGCGCACACGCUGGUACCCGAAAGAUGGUGAACUAUGCCUGGCCAGGACGAAGCCAGGGGAAACCCUGGUGGAGGUCCGAAGCGAUUCUGACGUGCAAAUCGAUCGUCUGAGCUGGGUAUAGGGGCGAAAGACCAAUCGAACCAUCUAGUAGCUGGUUCCCUCCGAAGUUUCCCUCAGGAUAGCUGGCUCUCGGGAAGAGACGAGUCUCAUCCGGUAGAGCGAAUGAUUAGAGGUGAUGGGGUCGAAACGACUUCAACCUAUUCUCAAACUCCCAAUAGAUGAGAGCCCCGGCUUGCUUGAAAGUGAAGCCGCGGGACUCGGAUCAGAGGUGCCAAGUGGGCCAAUUUUGGU